ensembl:lncRNA
CAGGCACAUCCCCUGCCUGAGGCGUUCCCUGCUCUUCCUGCACUUGGUGCGCUCAUCACUGGCCUUUGAAGUGAUUCAAUAGCAUGUACAGGUUUUGCUUUCCACUCUGCCUCAGAUUUUAAGCACAUGAGUUCACUGUGACGGGAAGAACAGCACGGAGUCCUUCAGCUGCAGGCAGAAGGCCUGUCUGACUCAGUACUCCACGUAGGCAAGUUCGUGUGCUUCGCCCCUUCUAUUGCUACACGCCUUGUGACAGCAACCAAAGCCGUCAGUGACUGAAAUCCUGGAGUCACACAGAAAUGAGGCAGUAAUACAGGAAAAGCUUCAUGCUGAUCAGUGUCCAGCAGGGUGUUGAGGGUUCUGCUGAUCCAGCACAAGUGUGGAUUGAAGACUUACUGCUGGACUGCAUCCCACUGCUAAAUGGAAACUUGCUUUGCACAGACAGAAGUCUUGACCCUUACACCAACCAAGACAGAAUCAACACCAAAACAGGUGUUGAUUCUAUAGCCUUCCUUGAUUUCUGUAAAUAUAACAAAAUAUUGAUAUAUUGAUGUAUAACAAAAUAUUGAUCUGGAACUUAAUUUAAAAAAAUUAAAUUUGAAAUUAAAUAAUUCUUGAAGAUGAA